GACGAACGCUGGCGGCGUGCUUUAGGCAUGCAAGUCGAACGCGAAAGCCUCUUCGGGGGUGAGUAGAGUGGCGAACGGGUGAGUAACACGUGGGUAACCUGCCCCUCGCAGGGGGAUAACCGGGGGAAACCCCGGCUAAUACCCCGUACGCUUGCUGGGGCGCAUGCUCCGGCAAGGAAAGGUAGCUUCGGCCAUCCGGCGAGGGAGGGGCCCGCGGCCCAUUAGCUAGUUGGUGGGGUAACGGCCCACCAAGGCGACGAUGGGUAGCUGGCCUGAGAGGGUGGCCAGCCACACUGGGACUGAGACACGGCCCAGACUCCUACGGGAGGCAGCAGCCCGGAAUCUUGCGCAAUGGGCGAAAGCCUGACGCAGCAACGCCGCGUGGGCGAUGAAGGCCUUCGGGUCGUAAAGCCCUGUUGUCGGGGACGAAGGGCGAAGGGUUAAUAGCCCCUAGCCUGACGGUACCCGACGAGGAAGCCCCGGCUAACUACGUGCCAGCAGCCGCCGUAA
rnacentral:rRNA from 1 species